rnacentral:rRNA from 1 species
GAGUUUGAACCUGGCUCAGGACGAACGCUGGCGGCGCGCCUAACACAUGCAAGUCGAACGGGGAUAUGCUGGACAAGGCUUCGGCCGAGGAAGGCAUAUUCGAGUGGCGGACGGGUGAGUAACGCGUGAGCAACCUGCCCUUCAGAGGGGGAUAACGAUUGGAAACGAUCGCUAAUACCGCAUAACAUUGCAGAGCCGCAUGGUUUUGCAAUCAAAGGAGCAAUCCGCUGAGAGAUGGGCUCGCGUCCAAUUAGGUAGAUGGCGGGGUAGAGGCCCACCAUGCCGACGAUUGGUAGCCGGACUGAGAGGUUGAACGGCCACAUUGGGACUGAGACACGGCCCAGACUCCUACGGGAGGCAGCAGUGGGGAAUAUUGGGCAAUGGGGGGAACCCUGACCCAGCGACGCCGCGUGAGGGAAGAAGGUUUUCGGAUUGUAAACCUCUGUCCUUGGUGACGAUAAUGACGGUAGCCAAGGAGGAAGCCACGGCUAACUACGUGCCAGCAGCCGCGGUAAUACGUAGGUGGCGAGCGUUGUCCGGAAUUACUGGGUGUAAAGGGAGCGUAGGCGGGAGAGCAAGUCGACUGUGAAAUCUAUGGGCUUAACCCAUAGCUGCGAUCGAAACUGUUCAUCUUGAGUGAAGUAGAGGCAGGCGGAAUUCCUAGUGUAGCGGUGAAAUGCGUAAAUAUUAGGAGGAACACCAGUGGCGAAAGCGGCCUGCUGGGCUUUAACUGACGCU